GUGGCAAUGAAGACAAAACGAUUGAAUAAUGUACUUUGAUUAACUCAUAAAUCGCAAUGCUCUGAGCGAC
rnacentral:snoRNA from 1 species